rnacentral:rRNA from 1 species
AGAGUUUGAUCAUGGCUCAGAAUCAACGCUGGCGGCGUGCCUAACACAUGCAAGUCGUACGCGAAAGGGGAGCAAUCCCUGAGUAGAGUGGCAAACGGGUGAGUAACACGUGGGUGACCUGCCUCAGAGUGGGGGAUAACGUCCCGAAAGGGACGCUAAUACCGCAUAACAUCCUGCCUUUGGAAAGGCGGAGAUCAAAGCCGGGGAUCGCAAGACCUGGCGCUUGGAGAGGGGCCCGCGUCUGAUUAGCUAGUUGGUAGGGUAAUGGCCUACCAAGGCAACGAUCAGUAUCCGGCCUGAGAGGGCGGACGGACACACUGGGACUGAGACACGGCCCAGACUCCUACGGGAGGCAGCAGUGGGGAAUUGUUCGCAAUGGGCGCAAGCCUGACGACGCAACGCCGCGUGGAGGAUGAAGAUCUUCGGGUCGUAAACUCCUGUCGAGCGGGAAGAACACUUUCCGGGCGAAUAUCCUGGAAGGCUGACGGUACCGCUAAAGGAAGCCCCGGCUAACUCCGUGCCAGCAGCCGCGGUA